AGGUGUAGCUCAAGUCAGGGGAGGUGUAGCUCAAGUCAGGGGAGGUGUAGCUCAAGUCAGGGGAGGUGUAGCUCAAGUCAGGGGAGGUGUAGCUCAAGCCAGGGGAGGUGUAGCUCAAGUCAGGGGAGGUGUAGCUCAAGUCAGGGGAGGUGUAGCUCAAGUCAGGGGAGGUGUAGCUCAAGCCAGGGGAGGUGUAGCUCAAGCCAGGGGAGGUGUAGCUCAAGCCAGGGGAGGUGUAGCUCAAGUCAGGGGAGGUGUAGCUCAAUUCAGGGGAGGUGUAGCUCAAGUCAGGGGAGGCGUAGCUCUACGAAAAGUAAUUGCACAAAUUGCCUAUUAAUUGGCAGAGAAUGCUAUUUAUAUACUGAACAAAAAUAUAAAGGCAACAUGUAAAGUGUUGUUCCAAUUUUUCACGAGCUGAAAUAAAAGAUUCCAGAAAUGUUCCAUACACACACAAAAAAAGCUUAUUUCUCUCAUUUUGUGCACAAAUUUGUUUACAUACCUGUUAGUGAGCAUUUCUCCAUUGCCAAGACAAUUCAUCCACCUGACAGGUGUGGCAUCUCAAGAAGCGGAUUAAACAGCACGAUCAUCACACAGGUGCACCUUGUGCUGGGGACAAUAAAAGGCCACUCUAAAAUGUGCAGUUUUGUCACACAACACAACGCUACAGAUGUCUCAAGUUUUGAGGGAGUGUGCAAUUGGCAUGCUGACUGCAGGAAUAUCUACCAGAGUUGUUGCCAGAUAAUUGAAUGUUAAUUUCUGUACCAUAUGCCACCUCCAACGUCGUUCUUGAGAAUUUGGCGGAACGUCCGACCAGCCUCACACCCGCAGACCAUGUAUAAACGUGUUCACCUGCAGGAUUGAGACCAGCCACCUGGACAGCUGAUGAAACUGAGUAUUUCUG
ensembl:lncRNA